UCAACCAUCAAGCCUGGCUUGUCGUUGGACCCCUUUGCAGCUGAAAUAUGCGGCAGGUCCGAAAGAUAGUGACGGCGUCGUGUUUGACCCUAGAUGUAACGAGCUUUUUUAUAGCACGCAUUGAAGUGGUCGACCGACCCGGUCUUUAACCAUCAUUUUCUAA
rnacentral:misc_RNA from 1 species